rnacentral:rRNA from 1 species
AUGAACGCUGGCGGCGUGCCUAAUACAUGCAAGUCGAGCGAACGGACGAGAAGCUUGCUUCUCUGAUGUUAGCGGCGGGCGGGUGAGUAACACGUGGAUAACCUACCUAUAAGACUGGGAUAACUUCGGGAAACCGGAGCUAAUACCGGAUAAUAUUUUGAACCGCAUGGUUCAAAAGUAAAAGACGGUCUUGCUGUCACUUAUAGAUGGAUCCGCGCUGCAUUAGCUAGUUGGUAAGGUAACGGCUUACCAAGGCAACGAUGCAUAGCCGACCUGAGAGGGUGAUCGGCCACACUGGAACUGAGACACGGUCCAGACUCCUACGGGAGGCAGCAGUAGGGAAUCUUCCGCAAUGGGCGAAAGCCUGACGGAGCAACGCCGCGUGAGUGAUGAAGGUCUUCGGAUCGUAAAACUCUGUUAUUAGGGAAGAACAUAUGUGUAAGUAACUGUGCACAUCUUGACGGUACCUAAUCAGAAAGCCACGGCUAACUACGUG